rnacentral:misc_RNA from 1 species
GAUGAAGAACGUAGCGAAAUGCGAUAAGUAAUGUGAAUUGCAGAAUUCAGUGAAUCAUCGAAUCUUUGAACGCACAUUGCGCCCGCCAGUAUUCUGGCGGGCAUGCCUGUCCGAGCGUCAUUUCAACCAUCAAGCCCCGGGCUUGUGUUGGGGACCUGCGUCCGACGCAGGCCCUGAAAACCAGUGGCGGGCUCGCUGUCCACACCGAGCGUAGUAACUAACCUCGCUAUGGAGUGGCGCGGGCGCCUGCCAUAAAACCCCCAAUUUUUACAAGGUUGACCUCGGAUCAGGUAGGAAUACCCGCUGAACUUAAGCAUAUCAAUAAGCGGAGGA